rnacentral:rRNA from 1 species
UAAAACGUAGGAGACGAGCGUUAUCCGGAUUUACUGGGCGUAAAGCGCGUGCAGGCGGCAUGGCAAGUUGGAUGUGAAAGCUCCCGGCUUAACUGGGAGAGGUCGUUCAAUACUGCCAGGCUUGAGAGUGGUAGAGGGAAGCGGAAUUCCGGGUGUAGUGGUGAAAUGCGUAGAUAUCCGGAGGAACACCAGUGGCGAAAGCGGCUUCCUGGCCCAUUUCUGACGCUCAGACGCGAAAGCUAGGGUAGCAAACGGG